AAUCCAGAAAUACUUCAAGAGAAAAUGUUAACAGAGGCAAAAGCAUUUCAGCAGAAGAAUCCAACCUAUCCCCACCCCAGAACUGAUCCUCUGACAUCAUUUUCUGCUGGUAUUACAUAAGCUACCCACCUAAGUGAGAGCAAGUGAGAGCAAGGGCCACAUCAAUUUUGUACAUGACUACUCUUUGAAAGGAAGAGAAGAACUGGACCACCUACUGUUUGUGCAACAGGGAUCACUGCAUUCAAGUUAUACACAUGAGGGGGGAUCCCGCAACAUGAUCUCAGCUAGAGACACAGCAAAACCUCCUCUGCUCCUCUUCCAGAACCUCAAGGGGCGAAUCAGACAAAACAAUAUUACAACCCCUCAAUACAGAUGGCUUAACAGAAAUAAACCGUGAUGCAGGAAUAGAGGGGAUGCAGGCAAACCAAUGAGUCACUGUUGCAAAAACAUCAAUGAGAUCUUCAGUCCAGCUUACCAUGUGAGGACACUGUCAGUCAUCUUUGGCUCACCAAGCCAAACCACAAGUUCCUCUGCAAGACAUCGACAAAGGACCUUGUGUUGCACCACCCACAUGGGCCAAAACUGUUAUUAAAAUGCAAGCACCAAACAUAACAUACAUUCGUUAUUUCAUAUAUAGGGACUACAUGUUAGCACAAAGAGAUGAUGGGUAAAUGAAU